AUUGAACGCUGGCGGCAGGCCUAACACAUGCAAGUCGAACGGCAGCACAGAAGAGCUUGCUCUUUGGGUGGCGAGUGGCGGACGGGUGAGUAAUGUCUGGGAAACUGCCCGAUGGAGGGGGAUAACUACUGGAAACGGUAGCUAAUACCGCAUAACGUCGCAAGACCAAAGUGGGGGACCUUCGGGCCUCACACCAUCGGAUGUGCCCAGAUGGGAUUAGCUAGUAGGUGGGGUAAUGGCUCACCUAGGCGACGAUCCCUAGCUGGUCUGAGAGGAUGACCAGCAACACUGGAACUGAGACACGGUCCAGACUCCUACGGGAGUCAGCAGUGGGGAAUAUUGCACAAUGGGCGCAAGCCUGAUGCAGCCAUGCCGCGUGUAUGAAGGAGGCCUUCGGGUUGUAAAGUACUUUCAGCGGGGAGGAAGGCGGUGAGGUUAAUAACCUCGCCAAUUGACGUUACCCGCAGAAGAAGCACCGGCUAACUCCGUGCCAGCCGCCGCAGUAA
rnacentral:rRNA from 1 species